rfam:Acidobacterium capsulatum ATCC 51196, complete genome.
CUGAGGCUGCCGCGAGGCAUCCUGACCGCGAAGCAGAAGUCAGCAGAGGGCAUAGUAGGCCAUGAGGUCGGCAAAGCUAGUGAGGCACUCCAAAGCCGAAAGGC